rnacentral:rRNA from 1 species
AACAUAAUGACGGUACUUUAGGAAUCAGCAUCGGCUAACUCCGUGCCAGCAGCCGCGGUAAUACGGAGGAUGCAAGCGUUAUCCGGAAUCAUUGGGCGUAAAGCGUCCGUAGGUGGCGUUUCAAGUCUGCUGUCAAAGCACAAGGCUUAACCUUGUAAAGGCAGUGGAAACUGAAAGAGCUAGAGUGCGGUAGGGGUAGAGGGAAUUCCCAGUGUAGCGGUGAAAUGCGUAGAGAUUGGGAAGAACACCGGUGGCGAAAGCGCUCUACUGGGCCUGCACUGACACUGAGGGACGAAAGCUAGGGGAGCGAAAGGGAUUAGAUACCCCUGUAGUCCUAGCCGUAAACGAUGGAUACUAGGCGUUGUCUGUAUCGACCCGGACAGUGCCGGAGCUAACGCGUUAAGUAUCCCGCCUGGNGAGUACGCACGCAAGUGUGAAACUCAAAGGAAUUGACGGGGGCCCGCACAAGCGGUGGAGUAUGUGGUUUAAUUCGAUGCAACGCGAACAACCUUACCAAGGCUUGACAUGUCCGGAAUCCUC